rnacentral:rRNA from 1 species
AUUGAACGCUGGCGGCAUGCCUUACACAUGCAAGUCGAACGGCAGCACGGGAGCAAUCCUGGUGGCGAGUGGCGAACGGGUGAGUAAUGUAUCGGAACGUGCCCAGUCGUGGGGGAUAACGUAGCGAAAGCUACGCUAAUACCGCAUACGAUCUAUGGAUGAAAGCGGGGGACCGUAAGGCCUCGCGCGAUUGGAGCGGCCGAUAUCAGAUUAGGUAGUUGGUGGGGUAAAGGCCUACCAAGCCGACGAUCUGUAGCUGGUCUGAGAGGACGACCAGCCACACUGGGACUGAGAGACGGCGCAGACUCCGACGGGAGUCAGCAGUGGGGAAUUUUGGACAAUGGGCGCAAGCCUGAUCCAGCAAUGCCGCGUGCAGGAUGAAGGCCUUCGGGUUGUAAACUGCUUUUGUACGGAGCGAAAAGGCUCUCUCUAAUACAGGGGGCUCAUGACGGUACCGUAAGAAUAAGCACCGGCUAACUACGUGCCAGCCGCCGCCGUAAAAC